GAUGAACGCUGGCGGCGUGCCUAAUACAUGCAAGUCGAGCGAACAGACGAGGAGCUUGCUCCUCUGACGUUAGCGGCGGACGGGUGAGUAACACGUGGAUAACCUACCUAUAAGACUGGGAUAACUUCGGGAAACCGGAGCUAAUACCGGAUAAUAUAUUGAACCGCAUGGUUCAAUAGUGAAAGACGGUUUUGCUGUCACUUAUAGAUGGAUCCGCGCCGCAUUAGCUAGUUGGUAAGGUAACGGCUUACCAAGGCAACGAUGCGUAGCCGACCUGAGAAGGUGAUCGGCCACACUGGAACUGAGACACGGUCCAGACUCCUACGGGAGGCAGCAGUAGGGAAUCUUCCGCAAUGGGCGAAAGCUUGACGGAGCAACGCCGCGUGAGUGAUGAAGGUCUUCGGAUCGUAAAACUCUGUUAUUAGGGAAGAACAAAUGUGUAAGUAACUAUGCACGUCUUGACGGUACCUAAUCAGAAAGCCACGGCUAACUACGUG
rnacentral:rRNA from 1 species